UGCAAGUCGAGCGCGAAAGGGGGCUUCGGUCCCUGAGUAGAGCGGCGGACGGGUGAGUAACACGUGGGUAACCUGUCCUCGGGUGGGGAAUAACCCAGGGAAACUUGGGCUAAUACCGCAUCAUAUCUCUGACUCACAAGAGUUGGAGAUCAAAGCUGGGGACCCUUCGGGGCCUGGCGCCUGAGGAGGGGCUUGCGGCCGAUUAGCUAGUUGGUGAGGUAAUGGCUCACCAAGGCUUCGAUCGGUAGCCGGCCUGAGAGGGCGGACGGUCACACUGGGACUGAGACACGGCCCAGACUCCUACGGGAGGCAGCAGUGGGGAAUUUUUGUCAAUGGGGGAAACCCUGAACAAGCAACGCCGCGUGGAGGAUGAAGGCCCUCGGGUCGUAAACUCCUGUCGGAAGGGACGAAAGCAGCUGGGGUUAAUAACCUUAGUUGUUGACGGUACCUUAGGAGGAAGCCCCGGCUAACUCCGUGCCAGCAGCCGCG
rnacentral:rRNA from 1 species